UACGUAGGUGGCUAGCGUUGUCCGGAUUUACUGGGCGUAAAGAGCGCGCAGGCGGUCGUUCCAGUCGAGUGUGAAAGCCCCCGGCUCAACUGGGGAGGGUCACUCGAUACUGAUCGACUCGAAGGCAGGAGAGGGAAGCGGAAUUCCCGGUGUAGUGGUGAAAUGCGUAGAUAUCGGGAGGAACACCAGUGGCGAAGGCGGCUUUCUGGCCUGUUCUUGACGCUGAGGCGCGAAAGCGUGGGGAGCAAACAGG
rnacentral:rRNA from 1 species